rnacentral:rRNA from 1 species
UCGAGAAUCUUUGGCAAUGGGCGCAAGCCUGACCAAGCGACGCCGCGUGCGGGAUGAAGGCCCUCGGGUUGUAAACCGCUGUCAGAGGGGAGGAAAUCGAUCGGGCCCACUCGGUCGUUGACCUAGCCUCAGAGGAAGUCCGGGCUAAGUUCGUGCCAGCAGCCGCGGUAAGACGAACCGGACAAACGUUAUUCGGAAUCACUGGGCUUAAAGGGUGCGUAGGCGGCGCGGCAGGUGGGAUGUGAAAGCCUCCGGCUCAACCGGAGAAUUGCGUCCCAAACCGCCGUGCUCGAGGGAGACAGAGGUGAGCGGAACUUGCAGUGGAGCGGUGAAAUGCGUUGAUAUUGCAAGGAACACCCGUGGCGAAAGCGGCUCACUGGGUCUCUUCUGACGCUGAGGCACGAAAGCUAGGGUAGCGAACAGGAUUAGAUACCCCCGUAGUCC